AUGAAAUUGAUGUCGAAAGGGAAGGGUGUUCCUUUACAGUCGAAGUGGCCUAUGAAUGGUUACCGGAUUUCUGUUCUCACUUUCAGAAUAUAGGUCAUGAUGUCACUACUUGCAGACGGCUUUAUCCUAGGAAGGAAACACAAACACUGAAGGAACAAAUUGUGCAGGGGAAGAAGCAAGUCCCUGCUGAGAAGGUUACUUGGGUACCAAUAAAAAAUAAUCCAUCUGGCAUUGGUUCCUCUAUAGCUUUUGGCUCCUCAAAAGAAAAUGUUCCAGAACCGAUAAAUGUAGAUGAGGAAACGGAAGUAGUCCCACAACAAUCAUUGAGU
rnacentral:lncRNA from 1 species